AACGAACGCUGGCGGCAGGCCUAACACAUGCAAGUCGAGCGCGCCCUUCGGGGUGAGCGGCGGACGGGUGAGUAACGCGUGGGAACGUGCCCUUCUCUGCGGAAUAGCCUCGGGAAACUGAGAGUAAUACCGCAUACGCCCUUUGGGGGAAAGAUUUAUCGGAGAAGGAUCGGCCCGCGUUGGAUUAGGUAGUUGGUGGGGUAAUGGCACACCAAGCCGACGAUCCAUAGCUGGUUUGAGAGGAUGAUCAGCCACACUGGGACUGAGACACGGCCCAGACUCCUACGGGAGGCAGCAGUGGGGAAUCUUAGACAAUGGGGGCAACCCUGAUCUAGCCAUGCCGCGUGAGUGAUGAAGGCCUUAGGGUUGUAAAGCUCUUUCAGCUGGGAAGAUAAUGACGGUACCAGCAGAAGAAGCCCCGGCUAACUCCGUG
rnacentral:rRNA from 1 species